CACUGUUCACAAGGAGACUAUGAAUGGAAAAAAGUCAAUGGCAAAACUCCCACAUCCUGCUAAAGUUGGUAUAUGGAUACUUUUCUACUCAUAUUUAAAGCUGAAAUAAACAGUAAUUGUUGUGUCAUGUGGAAACUCGCUCCUGUCAACGGAAACCAAAUUGUACAGAAACAAACUCUUCCUUCCUGUCCUCUGCCUGUAGCAGAAAAUAGACAAGCCAAGCAGAUGUCCAGGGAUGGCGGAGGAGUACCUCGGCUGCAGCUUCCUUGGGAGAAAACAAACUCAAG